rnacentral:rRNA from 1 species
UACGUAGGGGGCAAGCGUUGUCCGGAAUCAUUGGGCGUAAAGAGCGUGUAGGCGGCCCGGUAAGUCCGCUGUGAAAGUCCAGGGCUCAACCCUGGGAUGCCGGUGGAUACUGUCGGGCUCGAGUCCGGAAGAGGAGUGUGGAAUUCCGUGGUGUAGCGGUGAAAUGCGCAGAUAUCAGGAGGAACACCAAUGGCGAAGGCAGCACUCUGGGACGUGACUGACGCUGAGACGC